AUCAAUUCUCCUUCUUUUGGCUAAGAUCAAGUGUAGUAUCUGUUCUUUUCAGUUUGAAAUGUGUCAUCAAAUUACUGAUUUCCCUCUUCAGUUCUUACCCCUG
ensembl:snRNA U2 U2 spliceosomal RNA